rnacentral:lncRNA from 1 species
UGGCUACGAGGAAAAUGUAAUUUUGUUAUUUUUCCCUCUCAAACAAAGAAGGGCUUACCUUGAUGCACUAAAAUCAAACCACUCAUUCCUAAAGAUGAAUUUGGGCAAGAACAUUUUGCAAAACUUACUGUAGCAUAAAUGAUUCUUGCCCUAAAAGCCUAUAACCGCUAAAGAAGGUCACACUUCCUUUCAGUACCCAAAUAAGGAUGGCAUUAACCACAGCUCCUUGAUUAUGGAUAAAUAGCUCCCUUCAAAGUGUCCCUUGGGGAUUUCAGAGAGCUCCCAAAGGGGCACCCCAAUCCAGUCUCUCAGCUGCGGACACCAGGCAGCACAGCCCUCUUCCUCCUCCUCCUCUGGUUGGCUAAGGUUACUUUUUUAUUACAGAAAGAAAAAUAUGUUUAUAAAUUUGUGUGGCCUAAGUGUACAGUGUUUAAUAAAGUCUGCAGUAGUGUACAGUAAUGUCCUAGGCCUUCACAUUCACUCACCACUCACUCACCGACUCACCCAGAACAACUUCCAGUCCUGCAAGCUGCAUUCAUAAGUUCUCUACCUUGGCAAAUGGCACCACCAUCCAUCUGACUGGACCAAGCACAAGCUUGAGAGCCACGCUUGACACCUCCUUUCCCUUCAGCACCUCCCUACCACCACAUUCAAUCUGUCCAGGAAUAGCAGGAGAUAGAAGGAACACAGGGGAGGCAGGAGAGCAAGGCUGUUGCCCUCAUCCGCUACCUCCUGGCUGACUGAGGGCGGAUGUGUUAGAUAAAUCUGAGAACUCAAAGAAGCGCAGAGGUUCUAUUCUGCAACCCAGUAAAGAUGAAGAGGAGGAAGCUAAUUCCCAGGUGCCUACACUGAGCUGACAGACAGAUGCCUCUCCCUGGUAGCUCCAGCACAGUAAAGCAGAGGCAGACUCCAAGGCUCCCUUUGCUGAGUUGCCUUUGCUUCCAGUGAAGGAGAACCCAAGAGUCCAGCAAAGGAGUUCUUGACAUGACAAGGGUGGAGGAUCUGAGCACCCAGGGCCACUGAAUGGAGCAGCCAAGCCAAAGCCAAAUGGGAAUCUCAUCAGAGUUGUCUGAUGCCAGAGAGAGCCAAGGUCGGGAUGAGUCAGCCAGAGGGUGCUCCCAGGCUCUGAUCCAGCUGAGAGGGGCCAGAUCAUGUGUUACACUUCUUCAGAGGCCAGAGGAAGCACAGGGCACAGGCACAAAGACCCUAAAUCUUCCCCAUGGCCCUCGUGAGGUUGCAGAAACCACCACCACCCCUCACACGUAUAUCUGGACACACCAGAUGAGAAUAUACCAGAAGGAAGAAGAAUAUUAUCUGAAAGAUUGAGCCAUUUGUCCAAAAGAGAUUAAUCUAAAUAUACUUUAAUAUUGGUUUUAAUAUUGAUUUAAGCCUUAAUUUGAACACAAAAUUUCUCUUUGCUAACCAGCUGGGUGAGGACUUUAAAGGAAGGUUAUAUUAGGUGGAGAAAAAGUAAAGUAUGUUUUCUCUGCAUAUCCAAAUCAUAGUACAAAGUAAAUACUGUGCAUCUGACACACAGGAAUAAAAGGACCAUGAAAUCACUUGUCAAAAAUCUUAGCAGUUUAGAAAAACCAGGCAGAAAGUUGCUGCAGGGUCGGAUGGGUCACUUUCUUAAAGUUCCCACAGAUAGGGCUGACUGCAGCUUUCACAACUGUAGAAAACACAGGAGGAAAUUCAAAGAGCGAACCACGAUGGUGGAUUCCUAACUCUUGGUCAGACCCGCCCUCUAAGUGGUAGCUCAGCUAGUCUGCCCAUGGUGGGCACCAGGCAACUUCCAUGGAGAGGGGAUAUGCCCACUCACGUCCCCUCCUGGUCAAUACUUAUAGGCAUGUCAGCAAAAAGACUUGUUUAAAAAUAAAGAGUCCACAAUAUAUGAUGACCCAUACACAUGUUUCAAACUGUGAAGCAUAAAUAUACUUAUUGUAGGGAAAAAAUAGUACACAAUGAAAACAACCACAUGGGCCUGGGGUUCACUACCUGCCCCUUUCCACUAGGACAAGACAAAAGGCCUUUGACAUUCUCUUCCCUGAAUCUGUUCUGCAAUCUCUUCUUCAGUUAUCCUUGUGAUUCAUCCAUGGAUCUCCUGCAUGCUGUGCUGGGUCACGUGCCACCAGGAUCCUUCACAGGGCACAUCCUGUCAUUGUAUCAGGUCUGAAGCAGUAAUAGUCAGUGAGCUCUCUCGGUCCUUCCUCCUGCAAAGUCUUCAUCUUCCUAACUCUGACCUUUACUGUUCUUGUUUCUAAUUGCACAACAAAUGUAAUGUGUAGGCUGUAUUUCUCCUCCAGUGAAAAUCCACUUGGUCCAGUGCCUGCUGCUAGUAAACCUAGCUAGUAAGGUUAGAAAACCUCUGCUCUUCAUCAUGCUGAAAGAGAUGGCCUUUAUAGCCCUCUUUAACUGCUGAUGGGAAUAGGACAACUUCUAGGCUGGCUGCCUUGGCUCCCCCAUCCCCGUUAUUCAUAAGGUUUUACUCUAAAUCGUUCCUGCACCCCACUGUUAAGUGUCCUGCCAGAUGCAUCAAGGGGAUUUACAAUCACCCAUUUGUGCACUCCAUGGACUUUCCUGCUUAGUUCUGUAAUUCCCUCUGCUUACGUAGAUGAAACCCAUUGUUACACUUGUGCGCUUACCCAUGUGCUUAGUGCUAGCAAUUCUGAGCACUCGAUAUUGUCAUGAGAAAAUACUACAAGAUUGCAACCCAGCUCUCUGCACAGGCAGGCCUAUCCUCCCCGCAGUAGCAUAUGAGCUCCAUGAAAGCUACAAUCUAGAAUGCUACAUCCCAGUGUCUUGAACUGUGCCUGACAUGUAGUAGGCACCCAAUAGACAUGGGUGGAACAGAUGAUUGAGUUGAUGAGCAGAAAAAAACAAGAGGCAUGUUGCAUCUUCUGUGCACAAAAUCCCACCAGCAAAGGAACCUAUGUACAAGCUUCUUUUUUUGUUAAAGGCCUCCCCUUACACCUCGCCAACCCCACACCCUUUUUCAAUACACAAUCUCCUGGAAAAAAAAAAAUCCCUGUGUGAUCUUUAAAUAUUACCCUUGUGCUGGCACCUUCUUUGCCAAAGGCAGGAAAAACUCGUCUAUCAAGUUUCCCUUCAUUUGAGCAGAGGCAACUAUCUACAGCUUUGGAACUAUGGCUCUCUCACCAGCAGCUGAGCACUUUGAUCUUCAUGCCAUUCCCCGAAAUAAAGAGGCAGAAGCCAAACCGUAGCCUGGUCUCAGCUCUCCUAGCCUCAAGCUGCAUGAGGCAGAACCAUCCAAAGGGCCAGGCAUCCAUGGACAUCUGGCAGAGAGGGCGCAACCCCCUCUGGGCUCCAGCAGCUCUCAGCGGUGCUCCUUUGAGGUUCUUUGUCCCCAGGGAGUCUAGUAUGUGUGGCCAAGAGUUUCACUGGCUCUUUGACUGUAGCAAGCAUCUUAACUUAGUUAAACCUCAGUUUUCUUAUCUAUAAAAUUAGAAUAACAAUAGUAUCUGCCUCACAGGAUCAUUAUGAGAAAUAAAUAAGACAGUAUACACAAAGUGCUUGGCACAAAGUAAGAGCUCAAUAAAUGAUAGCUAUUAUUAUUCCUGCUUGGUAUGAUUUGUUCAUGCACUUUUGUUGUAAACAAAUAAACAAAUGCAACCUGCAAUCUGAAAUAAAUAGAAAAAGCUCACCUAUCAUUAUUAAUUCAUUCAACAAAGACUGUGUCAGGCCCCAGAUGAGACAGGCAAGGUUUUCAAAGUUUUGGUGUUGAGUCUUUAAGUCGUCUGGGUCUUCACUUAAGUUGAUCCCUGGAAUCAUAAGUACUCUCUGUUUGCGUUUCUCUCUCUCAGUGCCCACAACUCAGCUGAAUGUAAUGUUUCAGGACACUUUCCUGAACUGGACACAUCUUAGGCUGGAUCCUUUGGAAGGCAAAUUCUGACAUUAGCGUUUAGGAAAUUUGUAAGAGAGUUCUCUAGGGAUUAAUACCUGUGGAAGAGAGAAGAAGAAAGCAGACUGGUCAGAGGGAGAGUCCAACAAAGCAAUGCAGUCCCAGCAAAGGCCUCAGAAACUCCACAGACAUGUCCCAAAUUGGAGAGAGUGGGCUGGACCUUUAU